GAUAGUCCCGUAUACGAAAUAAUCACAGUGGAACUAAGCAUACGAACAAGUAGGACGGGGCACGUGGAACCUUGUCUGAAUAUGGGGGGACCAUCCUCCAAGGCUAAAUACUCCUGAAUGACCGAUAGUGAACUAGUACCGUGAGGGAAAGGUGAAAAGAACCCUUAUAAAGGGAGUGAAAUAGAAUCUGAAACCGCUUGCAUACAAGCAGUAGGAGCAUGAUUUAGUCAUGUGACUGCGUACCUUUUGUAUAAUGGGUCAGCGAGUUAUUUUUAGUGGCGAGGAUAACUGAAUAAGGGAUCCGUAGCGAAAGCGAGUUUUAAUAGGGCGACUAGUCGCUAGGAG
rnacentral:rRNA from 1 species